rnacentral:rRNA from 1 species
GACAGAGGUGCCAAGCGUUAGGCGGAAUCACUGGGCUUAAAGCGUGUGUAGGCGGAUCGUUAAGUACCUUGUGAAAUCCCCCGGCUCAACCGGGGAACUGCUGGGUAUACUGGCGAUCUUGGGCCACUCAGGGGCAGAUGGAACAGACGGUGGAGCGGUGAAAUGCGUAGAUAUCAGGAGGAACACCUGUGGCGAAAGCGGCUCACUGGACCAUAACUGACGCUGAUGCACGAAAGCUAGGGGAGCAAACAGG